UACGGAGGGGGCAAGCGUUGUUCGGAAUUACUGGGCGUAAAGGGCGCGCAGGCGGCUGCUCAAGUCAGGCGUGAAAGCCUGGGCUCAACCCGGGAAUUGCGCUUGAGACUGGGCUGGCUUGAGUGCGGGAGAGGAGUGGUGGAAUUCCCAGUGUAGAGGUGAAAUUCGUAGAUAUUGGGAAGAACACCGGUGGCGAAGGCGGCCAAUCUGGACCGCAACUGACGCUGAGGCGCGAAAGCCAGGGGAGCAAAGCGGG
rnacentral:rRNA from 1 species